rnacentral:rRNA from 1 species
AUUGAACGCUGGCGGCAUGCUUUACACAUGCAAGUCGAACGGCAGCGCGGGCUUCGGCCUGGCGGCGCGUUGCCAACGGGUGAGUAAUUCAUCCGAACGUGCCCAGCCUUUGGGGAUAGCCCGGCUAAAGCCGGAUUAAUCCCGCAUACGAUCUGAGGGUGAACCCGGUGGAUCGAUAGUCCUCGCGCUUUUUGAUCGCCCGUUGUCGGAUUAGCUAGUUGGUGAGGUAAAGGCUUACCAAGGCGACGAUCCGUAGCUGGUCUGAGAGGCCGACCAGCCACACUGGAACUGAGACACGGUCCAGACUCCUACGGGAGGCAGCAGUGGGGAAUGUUGGACAAUGGGGGAAAGCCUGAAGCAGCCAGGCCGCGUGCGGGAAGAAGGCCUUCGGGUUGUAAACCGCUUUUGUUCGGGAAGAAAAACUGUGGACUAAUACACCGGGGGGAUGACGGUACCGAAAGAGUAAGCACCGGCUAACUACGUG